rnacentral:rRNA from 1 species
AACGAACGCUGGCGGCAUGCCUAACACAUGCAAGUCGAACGAGACCUUCGGGUCUAGUGGCGCACGGGUGCGUAACGCGUGGGAACCUGCCCUUAGGUUCGGAAUAACUCCCCGAAAGGGGUGCUAAUACCGGAUAAUGUCUUCGGACCAAAGAUUUAUCGCCUUUGGAUGGGCCCGCGUUGGAUUAGCUAGUUGGUAGGGUAAAAGCCUACCAAGGCGACGAUCCAUAGCUGGUCUGAGAGGAUGAUCAGCCACACUGGGACUGAGACACGGCCCAGACUCCUACGGGAGGCAGCAGUGGGGAAUAUUGGACAAUGGGCGAAAGCCUGAUCCAGCAAUGCCGCGUGAGUGAUGAAGACCUUAGGGUAGUAAAGCUCUUUUACCCGGGAUGAUAAUGACAGUACCGGGAGAAUAAGCGCCGGCUAACUCCGUG